rnacentral:ncRNA from 1 species
UUAAAUGGCAAAACUGCCGAAAGACAGCGGCGCAAAGCUAGAGGGCCUUCCUCAUUACAUGAGAUGGCAGCCAGUUAC